ACAGCAGCCCGGUGACAGCAGGAACCUCCCAGACAGCCUGGUGGCCUUCCUUUGCACCUGAUGUGGGUUCUCAUUCCUGGACAGCCAAGAGAUAAGUUGAGGGCUAUGACUCACAGAGGGGAUGGAAGGGGGCUGCUGUGUCAGGACUCACCAGGUGGGAUUUUUGAGUCAGCUUUGGAGCUGAGGAUAUCCAGGAAAUGUUGUCUUGAGGCCACACAAAAGCAAAGUGUCACUUUUGAUCCCAGUGCUGAAGUGUGCAGGGCAGAGCAGUCCCAGUUUGUGUUGUGUCGCGUGGCUAUUGUGCAUUAUGUGUUGUUUGGCUGUUUCAUGUCUUUUACGUUAGCCCUUUGAGUGGCCUGACAGAAACCCUGGCAUCACUCUUAGAAUCUCUGAUCCCUGCAUUCCUUGGCCUUGCACCAAUGCCAUAGGACUUCUGACUCAGGAGCUCGGACAGGCAUUGGAAUUGCAUUUCUCUUUAGGAGCAUCCAGUCAAAUGUCUUGUAAGGUCUUGUUCUGAGCUGUAUGUACUGCUGUGCAUUGCAAGGAUCCAUUAUGGCCGAUUAGGACUUGUGAGACUGCAAAGAUAGGUAGAAGAUUCUGACCGUAGGAUUCUCAGGCAUCCAUCUUUGUAGUUCUUGGAAUAAACCAUUGUCUUAGCAGAUUCUUCCUCCAGGGUUCUCUGAGCCUCAUCAGCUUGCCAUCAGUCUCACCCCGGUCAUCUAAUCUUGUAUUCUCUCAUUCCUUGCACUCAUUCCUCUUGCCAUGAGAUUUCUGUUCCUGUUUUGUCCCCAUUGUUUGUCACGUCCUGUCCUGUGUCACGGGUGUCUGCACAUAUUUGUGCUGGAGCUGCUCUGCCCUGCUGCAUAAUCUGGUGUGAUAGGACAAGUCCUGGGGGCUUGAAAUUUGUAAUGUGGGGUGCAGUUGGAUUCUAGAUGGGAUUUGUAGAUGGACACAAGGUGUCUGGAGCAGUGAAGUUAUCCUGCAGCCCUUUGACUUUUGCCCUGACUUUCUUUCAGAUGCAGGUGGAUGAAAUCCGUGGCAGAGCACCCCAUCCCGGCUGAGGGGGUUCCUCUGAGCAGGAGGUAAAGCCAGAUAUCAGCAGUCAAGGUAAUCCAUUUGGAGUAUGCCAAGCCCUCCUCUCCAGCCGGCUGAUGGACGGGAUUGCUGCUUUUGUGAGCCCUGUGGAAGUAUUGCAGGACUCUGUGAUGAAGCCCUGAACCUUUCUGUUUAAAGGUGCCAUCGAGCUGGCCUUCGGCAGCCGACGAGGAG